GAAUGAAUAAUUAUUUUACAUUAUAAUUUAACUAUAAAAUAAAUAAAACUUAAAUUACAAUAAUUAAAAAAUAGUAAUAAAUAUCCAAAAUCAGUUUUACAAAUGUUCUCAUAAUCAUCACUAGCAACUCUAUCUUCUUCAUCUCUAUCUUUAACCUCAAUAAAUUAAGCCAAAUUUUAUCACCGAAAAAGUAUCAUUCUGAUAAAGAAACUUCAUCUUCCUCCUCCUCACCAACAACAACGCUAAAGUGGAAAUAAAGAAGAGAAAUUCUGAAAAUUUCAAUAGCAUAUUAUUGAUUCAUGAACAAUUGUUACAGAAUCCCCAUCUCACAAAAGAAAAAUUCAGAUCUGACAUACGAAGAAAGUGAGUGACAAAAAAAAAUAAAAAAAUGAUGCAUUCCCUCUAAUAUCCUUCACUUUCCAGAACCCUGUUUUCUAUGUCCACCGGAAUGAAAACUCAUUUAUUUCUUUUCGAUUGAACAUAUUGAGCUCCUGAAAUACAGCCAUCGAUCUCCAUCAUCUUUCAUUUCUCAUAGAUUUUAAAAGAAGAUUUUAACCCAUGUGAACCCAAACAUUUAACUUCAGAUCUAAAAAAACAAAAAAACUUAGAAGAUGAAUCCCAUGAACUUUCAAUAGAUCUCGUGCUUGUGGCUUUAGCUGAAACAAAAGAAGAAAUUACCAUUCAUAUUCAAAGCUUUCUCAAUUUCUUCGAUACAGAAGAAAUAAAUGAAGGAGCAAAUUCUAAUUUUUUUAAGCCUUCUCAAUUUCUUCAAUCCCUAAUGAAAUAUCUCAUGUGUUUGAAGCCUUUUUAAUUUCUUCAAUAACGAGGAUGAAAGAAGGAAAAUAUGGAAGAAAUUGAAGAGGAUUUGAGUGCAUCCUAAAUUUGGGAAUUAGGAUUCUAACGUUCUUAUAGAGAUUUCAAUUUUCUUUUUUUUGUUCUAAUUUCUGAAUUUUUU
rnacentral:lncRNA from 1 species